rnacentral:rRNA from 1 species
CCUACGGGGGGCUGCAGUGGGGAAUAUUGGACAAUGGGGGGAACCCUGAUCCAGCCAUGCCGCGUGUGUGAAGAAGGCCCUCGGGUUGUAAAGCACUUUCAGUGAGGAAGAACGCCUGGUGGUUAAUACCCAUCAGGAAAGACAUCACUCACAGAAGAAGCACCGGCUAACUCCGUGCCAGCAGCCGCGGUAAUAAGGAGGGUGCGAGCGUUAAUCGGAAUUACUGGGCGUAAAGCGCGCGUAGGUGGCUUGAUAAGCCGGUUGUGAAAGCCCCGGGCUCAACCUGGGAACGGCAUCCGGAACUGUCAAGCUAGAGUGCAGGAGAGGAAGGUAGAAUUCCCGGUGUAGCGGUGAAAUGCGUAGAGAUCGGGAGGAAUACCAGUGGCGAAGGCGGCCUUCUGGACUGACACUGACACUGAGGUGCGAAAGCGUGGGUAGCAAACAGGAUUAGAUACCCCGGUAGUC